UGUUUGAGAGAGAGAGAGAGAGAGAGAGAGAGAGUCGAGAGAGAGAAGCUACGUACGGAUUAAUAUGAGGGAGAGAUUUGGAGAUGAAUUUGUUGCGAGUCCAUAUAUGAACUCAUAUGACACUACCCCAGAGAGAGAAGGGCUGCAGCAACAGCACUCUUCUCUAUCAUAACCUGUGAGCUUGUGGCACAGCCCAUCAUCUUCUUCAGUUUCAGAGGGCUCUUCCUCCUUCAAAACCAGGAAAAUCUCUCAAAUGCUAAAGUUGAUGGAGGAAUUAAUUACGCAACAUACAUACAUUAGGUUCUACCAUGACGAAGGAAUCCUGAACCACUUCUACGACAUAACCAACUUUUGUUCUGUCAGUGACAUUUGCCUUUUGAUAUUGCCUAUGAUAUAUAAAAUGUCACUAUUCAAACUCUUUCUAUGUUGUCA